GUGCUUGUUUUGACAGUACAUACACUAAAAUUGGAGUGACAAAAAGAUUAGCAGGGCCUCUGUGCAAGGAUAGCAUGAGAAUUCACAGAACGUUCCAUACCUUA
ensembl:snRNA U6 U6 spliceosomal RNA